UCAGAUUUAGACUAUGAAGACAGACUGCAAGAGAUGACAAGCACCACAAGAAACGAGCAGAAGAUGGCUAGUGACUUAUCUUCUAGAGGAGAAUGACUGAAAUGGCUGUUUGGAAUUAUUCCUGGAAUUAGACCAGCAUGAGGUCUCCUCUGCCAAUCUAAGGAAAAAUGGAGUUUAGAACUGACUCUCGACACUUGAUGCACAUUUGGCAGGAGGCCAAGGUGAAUCAGAAUAAACAGCCAGAAGAAAAUGCCAAAUACAAGAAAAUAACAGCAACUUAAUAUGAUUUUAUACCAAUAAAGUGGUUAAGAUGAAGUUUCUUAAACGCUGUAAUGAAAUAUGGUUAACAUGGACUAUUGAGAAACACCUCCAGUUUUGUAUGUUUUCUGAAUGGAGUAUAUGGAAAAUAAAUAGAAAUGUUUGGUCUUA